AUUCAGCUGACGAGUUCUAAAUAAGAUGAAACAUGCGUCCUAGAU
rnacentral:hammerhead_ribozyme from 1 species